CAUGCGCAAAGUAGCAACAAUUUUACUGGAUUGCCACUUUCUCGCAACUUGUUUAGUUUAGACUCAUUUCCAGUUCUUCCCGAGGUCCCGGGACAAUGAUUGCAUUAAUCCAAUGAAUGCAUGAAUUAUUCUUCUCAGAUACAUCCCAAAUCGAAAUCCCAGUGCUAAGUUUCAGAUCAUCGACUUUGAAACUCCAAUAGCCUACUCCUGUGACAGUUGUAGCUGAAUCCAAACCGCACAGGGGCGCAAAAAAUACCAUAGAUGGGUUGGGGAAGGGCAAUGUAUGAAGGAGGUGUGGUGCUGGGAUCUCUUUGUUUACUCGGUUGGGCUGGUCUUUGGUUCUUGAACCGUCGUCUCUACAAAGAGUACGAAGAGAAACGCGCGCUGGUGCAGAUCAUUUUCAGCGUAGUAUUCGCCUUCUCCUGCAAUCUCCUCCAACUCGUCCUCUUCGAGAUCAUUCCCAUCCUUUCCAAAGAGGCUAGAGUCGUGAACUGGAAGGUGGACUUAUUUUGUUUGAUCUUAUUACUGGUCUUCAUGCUGCCCUAUUAUCAUUGUUACUUGAUGCUCUGCAACAGUGGUGUAAGGAAGGAACGGGCAGCACUUGGAGCUAUAUUAUUCUUGCUGGCAUUUCUGUAUGCCUUUUGGCGUAUGGGAAUUCACUUUCCAAUGCCAUCACCUGAUAAGGGUUUCUUCACUAUGCCUCAACUGGUCAGUAGAAUUGGGGUGAUUGGUGUUACAGUUAUGGCUGUUCUAUCUGGUUUUGGUGCUGUGAACUUACCCUACAGUUAUUUAUCUCUUUUCAUCAGAGAGAUUGAGGAAGCAGAGAUUAAAGGCUUGGAGAGACAACUGAUGCAGUCAAUUGAGACUUGUAUUUCAAAGAAGAAAAAAAUUAUACUUUGUCAAAUGGAGAUGGAGAACAGCCAGGGACCUGAGGAGAAGUUAAAUGCCAGAUCUUUUGUUAAACGUAUAGUUGGCACCGUCAUUCGAUCUGUGCAGGAGGACCAAAAGGAGCAAGAUAUCAAAGGCAUGGAAGCAGAGGUACAAGCUUUGGAGGAGCUUUCAAAGCAAUUGUUCUUGGAGAUUUAUGAGCUUCGCCAAGCGAAGGAAGCUGCUGCUUAUUCUCGAACUUGGAGGGGGCACAUGCAGAAUCUACUUGGUUAUGUUUGUUCCAUCUAUUGUGUGUAUAAAAUGAUCAAGUCAUUGCAAAGUGUUGUUUUCAAACAGGAUGGUUCUGUUGAUCCUGUAACAAGGACAAUUAGUAUUUUCUUACAGUUCUUUGACAUUGGAAUCAAUGCUGCCUUAUUAUCACAGUACAUUUCCUUGCUGUUCAUUGGAAUGUUGAUUGUGAUAUCAGUGCGUGGAUUCUUAACAAAUCUAAUGAAGUUCUUUUUUGCUGUUUCCCGAGUUGGAAGUGGAUCUUCAAGCAAUGUAGUCCUAUUUCUGUCUGAGAUAAUGGGAAUGUAUUUUGUAUCAUCUAUUCUUUUAAUCAGGAAAAGCUUGGCAACUGAAUACAGGAAUGGGGGGCAAGCAAAGUGAGGUAUUGAACUACUGAGGCCAAUCAACCAAUCCUAUGGACCAAGUUUUGGUCCUAUUCAACUUUGGAUUAAGUCUAGACCAAGCUAGACUACAUGUUGCCUAAUCCAAUCUUUUCCAUGAAAGAGAUCAGACUUUAGGUUAAGCUGAAGUUCUGUCCUGCCUGUCCUUUAUGUAGCCCUACUCAUCAUUCAUCUUGUCAACUUGCAUGGGGAUAUCAUUGGGCCUACAUUGCAACAUACCAAUUUCCUUCAAGAGAUGGAUCUCUCUGUGAGAUGUAAAUUCCUUUCUUGGAUCAAGCAAUCUUCAUCUCGAGUAAGUAUUUCAUUUUCCCAAAAUCUUUUAUCUGGAAUGCUUUGGCCAUUGCAGUCUUGCUAUGUUCAGUUUCUUCUAGAUAAUCUCCUGUAAGGACAAUCAUCAACAUAAACUUGCCAAGACAAUAAUCUUACCAUCUUGAUGCUUAAAGAACAAAGUAUGAUCACUUUGUCCUUGAGUAUAUCCCUGCUUCUUCAAGACUUAGUUCUCAAACCAUUCCUGGGGGACUGUUUUAGUCCAUGCAGUGACUUCAUCAACUUGCACACUUGAUUUGGUUUCUUCCCAGGGAACCCUUGAGGAUUAUUAUAACAGAGGUAUUGGGUGGUGAUAUUCAAUUUGACUUCUAUCACCGGUGGUUUGAUGCAAUUUUUGUUGCUAGUGCAUUCCUUUCACUGCUUUUACUGUCUGCGCAUUAUACAUCCCGCCAAACUGAU